UGGGCCCUUUCUGAGAAAGGGGUGA
rnacentral:piRNA from 1 species